AUCCUGGCUCAGAUUGAACGCUGGCGGCAGGCUUAACACAUGCAAGUCGAGCGGAAACGAUUCUAGCUUGCUAGAAGGCGUCGAGCGGCGGACGGGUGAGUAAUGCAUGGGAAUCUGCCCGAUAGUGGGGGACAACCUGGGGAAACUCAGGCUAAUACCGCAUACGUCCUACGGGAGAAAGCAGGGGAUCUUCGGACCUUGCGCUAUCGGAUGAGCCCAUGUCGGAUUAGCUUGUUGGUGAGGUAAUGGCUCACCAAGGCGACGAUCCGUAGCUGGUCUGAGAGGAUGAUCAGCCACACUGGGACUGAGACACGGCCCAGACUCCUACGGGAGGCAGCAGUGGGGAAUAUUGGACAAUGGGCGAAAGCCUGAUCCAGCCAUGCCGCGUGUGUGAAGAAGGCCUUCGGGUUGUAAAGCACUUUCAGCGAGGAAGAACGCCUUGGGAUCUAAUACUCCCCGAGGAAAGACAUCACUCGCAGAAGAAGCACCGGCUAA
rnacentral:rRNA from 1 species